rnacentral:rRNA from 1 species
AUACGAAGGGGGCUAGCGUUGCUCGGAAUCACUGGGCGUAAAGGGCGCGUAGGCGGCCGAUCAAGUCAGGGGUGAAAGCCUGUGGCUCAACCACAGAAUGGCCUUUGAUACUGUUCGGCUCGAGACCGGAAGAGGUUGGUGGAACUGCGAGUGUAGAGGUGAAAUUCGUAGAUAUUCGCAAGAACACCAGUGGCGAAGGCGGCCAACUGGUCCGGUUCUGACGCUGAGGCGCGAAAGCGUGGGGAGCAAACAG